rnacentral:misc_RNA from 1 species
CUUGUAUGGGAAUUGAGGUCUGUUUUGUGUGAAUUCAACAAGUAUUUUCAACUAGCUAUGAUGGCAUCAUUUACUUUAUGGUGUUGGUUUGGUCUGUCGAGCAUCUUUUUUGCAACAUCCCAAGGUCUUAUGCGGUAACAAUUUUACAGCCUCGGGGAGUUUGACAUUGCUUAAAGAGUGGAUAGUUGAUUCACAGUGGGCUUUUAUUGGAUUCUGCAGUAACAAAUGACUCCCUUUGCUUUGGAGUUUAUCAAAUAUUCUGGUCAUUUGAGUUGUCAUGUCAGUGUGUUAUUAUACCAUGCAUUAAUGGUCAUUGAGCUCAUGUAAAAGGAGGAAAAUGAGAUCCUCGAAGGAAUUGGUUCAAUUACUGUGUAGUUGAAUUUUGGCAUGUACUCUCU